rnacentral:rRNA from 1 species
GCUUACAGGCCAUACCACCCUGAGCACGCCCGAUCUCGUCUGAUCUCGGAAGCUAAGCAGGGUCGGGCCUGGUUAGUACUUGGAUGGGAGACCGCCUGGGAAUACCAGGUGCUGUAAGCU